rnacentral:ribozyme from 14 species
CAUUUUUUGCUGUUUCUUAUUUCUAAUUCUUUUUUUGCUUUUUUAAUUGUCUUUUUCUUUAUUUAAUUAUUACCACAACAAACAAACAAACGUCGACGACACAGAAAGAAUAGG